rnacentral:lncRNA from 1 species
UAAAAGACAUUUUCAAACUAAAUCACUCUCCUUGUACUCUGUAGAAGGCAACAGACAUGGAUUUUGUGGCUAAUAUAUGUAUGAAUGUUUUUCUCAAAAAAAUAUACAACUGUCAGUAAAUUUCCUCUGAUUUCAGAUGGCACACUUGGAAAUAAUACCAUAAAGGCUCAUUAUUUUAAACAACUAUUGAUUACAUCUUGGGGAUUUUCACCAAUUCCACUUGAUGCUGCUUUUAAAAUGAAAUAACAGAAAAUUCCAAGAAAUGGAAGCCGCUGCUAGUAAAAGAAGAAAAGCCGAGUAUCGUCAGGGUUAAUAGCUCCUAUUUGAGAUCCAUGAAUGAUUACAAAGUUACUUUUCUAUAUCGAACUUUCAAGUCUCAUUAAUAAUAUGCUGCCUCUCCAGGACACAGGUGCACUCACGGUACAAAGGCUAUCGGUUCAUCACAUGGA